GUGCCCUUUCACAGCUUUCAGAUUGCUUUAGGAGGCUGACACAGAAGGGAAAAGGUCGUCUGUAAAACCCAGAGAAGACCUUGUCACUUGUUGAGUCACAGCU
ensembl:snoRNA